UGCACCAAGCCUCAAAUAACUAAUUUUGAAAUAUUGGUUAGUUCAAAUAGACCUCACAGAAGAGCAAUAAAUCAGCUACCACUUAGAAACAACAAAAUAUACCAGUUUAAUAUCUUCCCAUCUUCUCUGUCAUGUUCUUGCAAUGGUGAAAGAGAGUGGAGCAUUGCUUACUUACUGUGAAAGCUCCUUCUUGCUGUGGAGUCCAAGGGAGUCUCACGUGUGGGUUAUGUGAUCCCACGUGACUCCAAAGGCAGGACUAAGCCAAUUAGGAAAGCUUUUAAAACUGGGAGGAGCAAACCCUCCUUAGUUCUUUUAGGCCAAGAAGCAAUACGUACCUUCUUAGGUACUGGUAAAUAACUAGGACAAAAAAAAAAAAAGAGUUAAACAACCUAAUCAACAUACUACCAUGAUCCUCCAGCUAACAGGAGAAGGAAGUGACUACAGGAUACCUCUCCCAGUAGUACACUGCGGACUGUAGUCCUUAAAAGAAAAAUAUGCAGAGAGCCCCCCAAGGGGAAAAAAACAUGCCUAGAACCCCCAGGUCCCUGGACAGUAGGUGCAGGUAGAAGGGUGGGUCGAGACGUCCUUGGACUCCGCAGCAAGAAAGAGCCUUCAUGGGGCUGGUGCCUCAGAAGCAGAGGAAACUGGGCUGGAGGAUGGGGAGACCCGCCUGGACCAUUUUUGCCUUUUGGAUUUCAAAUAAUCAUAUCUCUCAAAGGAUUUAGCUAACAAGCCCUCAAACCAUGACCCCCAGGUAUAUAAGAGCGAGGCUAGCCAAGACAGUGCCUUGGUGUAGUGCCAAAUGUGUCACUAAGUGUGCACUUGGAGGUGCACAUGGAAGUGCCUGGAGGUCCAAGCUGCACCUUGUUGAAGCAGACAGUCAACCAACACUGAGAGCCAGUUUGUCUCUGGAGGGCCCUGGAGGAAGGUGGAACAAAUGCUUCUCUGCCAAGAAGACUGAAAUGAACAGCAAGGAUCCACUGAGGGCAUCGUAUCACAGAACUGGUUUUUUGCUGAUUUAUAAACAUUUUCCUGAAAUAUUGAUACAUUUUAAUUAUGCCUCAAAUAAAACAAGAAUUUUAGCCAGCUAUUCUUUCGA